rnacentral:rRNA from 1 species
UACAGAGGUCUCAAGCGUUGUUCGGAUUCAUUGGGCGUAAAGGGUGCGCAGGCGGCGCGGUAAGUCGGGUGUGAAAUCUCGGAGCUUAACUCCGAAACUGCAUUCGAUACUGCCGUGCUUGAGGACUGGAGAGGAGACUGGAAUUUACGGUGUAGCGGUGAAAUGCGUAGAUAUCGUAAGGAAGACCAGUGGCGAAGGCGGGUCUCUGGACAGUUCCUGACGCUGAGGCGCGAAGGCCAGGGGAGCAAACGGG